AGUGGCGCCGGUGCUGGCCGAAAUCGGUUGGCGACGACGGCGAGCGAAAGAGGACGGACGGCGGCGGUGGAGCGCCGAUUUGGUGGAGGGUGGGGGCGCAGGAGUGGUGGAACCGGCGGCUGGGCCGGUGGAGCGCCGGGAUCUGGCGGCGGCGCGAUCCACCCCCCACUAAUUUUUCUCCUUGUUUUCUUUUCUUACCGUGGUUUAUUUUCAUCCGUCACGGUUUUAUUUUCCCUGAACCAAAGAGGCGAUAGCUUAGGAGUCAGGAGCCCAGCCCGCACACCCCUCUCUCUCCCCUCAAGCAAUAAGGUGCGCUAGGGUUGGCCCGCCACUGACUGCGAUGGCUAUCAAAUGGCAGCUAGGGCGAUGUCGACGCGCUUUAUCUCCCACCGCUGCCGCCUCCUGAGAUCCCGAUCCCGACCGUGGUGAGCUCCCUUCCCUUCCCCACUUCCUCGCUACCAUGCCCCUCCCGACAUCCGUUCCGUUCCCAAGGCAACGGCCGCUCCACGAUCCGUCUAACCUAGGAAUAGGAUUGUCGACCUGAUCUGUCGGUGUGCACAUGACGAUGGUGAAUUGGCGAUGCCGGACUCAAUCGCCCUGAUUUGGUUUGACUGAGAAUCAUCCAUGUGUAGGCGACAAGCAGAUUUCCUUGCAUGCCAAUUCCUUAGCUGAAACAAUAUAUAGUUCUCCGACUACCGUGCUCGAUUUUAUUCACAGGCUUCAGGACCAAUUUGUGGGAAAGUGCGGCGAACACGAGCAAAUAAAUUGGUAGAAGGUGCGGACAACUAUCUGUGCGAAGGCUUGUGUAAUAUGUAAAGUGAAUUGCAGAUGCAUUAUCUACCUCUUUGAUAAGUAUUGGGAUGUAGCGGCAUCACGGUGAUUGCGCCUGGUCUACUCCACGUCUUUGCUUGUGGUUUGUGUUCUUCAGAGUCUGCUUCUGUUUGCACCUAUUCGAGAUAAUGGUCGUGAAAUGCAGCAGCCAAGACAACAAGAUCAAGCUCUACUUAGAUUCUAAAGAAUUGAUUUGUUGUUCGGGCAUUUCGUGCAUUUGGAGUUCACAGGUAUCUAAGUUUCUCUGAUAUGUGUUUUCAAAGGAUUUGGUACUAAGCACUAGAAUUUUUUGUCUGAGCAUGUCAUCUCAAGGCUUGGGUAGAACACGAGCAAUUGUGAGAUAGAGCUAUUUGCUGCACCUUUUAGAAAAUAGAACUGAUAAAUUCUCGGUAGUACCUAUAUUGAUUAGCUAUGUGCUUACCUCUAAGUCCUUAGCAAAUUAUUGUAAUUGUUAGUACAUCAAGGUUUAAAUAAUUAUUAUUAAAAGUACAUGUUGAGCACUACUUAUAAUGAAAAAUGUAUGUCCAUGGUUUAAAGAAGCUUUAUUGUUUCAGUCUAUACUGAAGCUUAUAUUGUUCCCCAGUUGAUCUAGACAUCAAAUAUUUUAAGCUUCUGUUUUUUGAGCCAACAGACGAACUACAACAACAACAACAAAAAAGCCUUUAGAGCAUCCCCAACAGACGGGCGCAGGCGCGGCACGCUAAAUUUUUUUUACAGCACGCGCAACAGCUGUUUUUGCGCCCGAGUAGGCAAUUGCUUCACCAAGCGCUGCAAGUUUUAGCGCGCCACUGUAGCGGUUCAACAGGCGCGCUAAAAUACAGCACGCUGAUACACAUACAUACGCAAAAACAAGACAUACAUAUUUCAACCAACAUAGACAUAGUCAUAUUUCAAACAAAAUAGCAUAUUUCAACCACAACAUAUAUAGUUCAUAGCAUAGAUAGUAAAAAAAAAGAUACAAAAGCCCGCGGCUAAAAACUACUCGUCGUCCUCCUCCGCCUCCGACUCUGACUCGGUGGUGUCCUCCUCCUCCUCCGACGUCGUAAUGAAGGCGUCAAUCCACCAUUCAUCGUUGGAGCCCUAGGUCGACGCUUCUUUGAGCUAGAUGUUGAAGAGCGCGGCCACCUUCCGCGUACGCUUGUCCUUGCGAUAGGCGGCUCGCUCCGCCCUCCUUCCCGCCCUCCUUUGCGCGUAGAAUUCGCGCUCGUUGACGACGUCCUCCGGGAAGCGUUGGCGUCACACAGCCAUGGCCUCGUCAUCCAUCUCAACGAUGCCGAGGCGGCGCUCCCGCCUCCGGUUGUCGCGACGGUCCUCGUCGGUGAAAAGCCACAGGCGAAGCGCGAGCUCCUACGCUCGCUCCCGCGUCGCCAUGUUGGAGAGGUUCAUCUCCCUACGAGGCCGCCGGAGGCGCCACGCCGCCGCGUCGUACGCGUGGGCGGCCUCGUGGGUGGUGUCGAAUGUGCCGAGGCCGACGCGCAUCUCACCGGAGCGGAUCUUGGCAUAGGAGUCGGAGGGGCGCGCACGGACGCGGUAGCCCGAACUUCCCUGGCGGCACGGCGGCAUGGUCGCACGGCGGCGGCGAGGCGAGAAAGAGCGGCAGAGAGGGCGCUUGGCGAGGCAGAGCGAUGGGUCUGGGAUUUAUAGCGCCCGCGCGUCGACACGCGCCAACACUGCCGCACGCGCCCGUUAUUUUUGCACGCCACUUUUUCCCGCGCCCGCUGGAGCACCCCGCGCGGACGCGUGCGGGGUAAAUGCCAUGUUUUUCGCGCGCGCGCUUUAUUUGCCGCGUCUGUUGGAGAUGCUUUUAGUCCCAAACAAGUUGGGGUAUACUAGAGGUGAAACCCGUAGAUCUCGCAACCAACUCAUGGGUCUGGCACAUGGAUACCGACAUUCCACGCACCCCUGUCCAUGGCUAGUUCUCUGUCGAUACGAACCUUCCUAUCCCUCUUUACGGACUCCUCCCAUGUCAAAGUUCGGUCUAUCCCGACCUCUCUUGACAUUAUCGGCACGCUUUAGCCAUCCGCUAUGCAGUGGCGCUUCUGGAGACCCGCGCUGAAUAUGCCCAAACCAUCUCAGACGAUGUUGGACAAGCUUCUCUUCAAUUGGCGCUACCCCAACCCUAUCUCGUAUAACAUCAUUCCGGACUCGGUCCUUCCUUGUGUGGCCACACAUCCAUCUCAGCAUGCGCAUCUCCGCCACACCUAACUAUUGAACAUGUUGCCUUUUAGUCGGCCAACACUCAACACCAUACAACAUUGCGGGUCGAACUGUCAUCCUAUAGAACUUGCUUCUUAGCUUUUGUGGCACUCUCUUUUCACAGAGAAUGCCAGAAGCUUGACGCUACUUCAUCCAUCCGGCUUUGAUUCGAUGAUUCACAUCUUCAUCAUAUCCCCAUCCUAGCCAACGGGCAAACUAAUAAGGGGAAAUUUGUUUCAUAAAUAGUAGUGUCAUUUACUACGCAGAUGAUACUCACUUCUCAAACAAGUCAGCAUUAUUUUUCAGUCAGUAGGUUUCAGAAUAAGGUCGGAGUUCGCAUGGAGCACCAACGAUAAUCUCAAGCAGAUGCAUCGGAGACAGGUGAUGAACUCUCCUAUGUUUCCUCACCUGAAUCCUUGCUCCAAUCACUUGAUUGUUCGAUCCAGUUUGUUGUGACAAUACAAUGAUUUUCUGUUUUUCCUGUGGUGCAACCUCUGUUUGGUUUGGAAAGAUGGGGACUUUCUGUUGAGUUAUUUCAAUCUUCCAUUGACCAUAACAUUCCAGAUUCCUUUUUUUUAUUUCCUCUUUUUUCGUGGCUUCAUUUCGUUGGUUGGAUUGGACCUUGUACUGUUGUGACAAUUUUUUUACUCCCAUAACAAUGGACGGUUAUGUUUACAUUUGAUGAUGAUGAUCUUUGUUGUGUUGAGCCAAAACAGUUCAAUUCUUUGUUUUACAAUCUUACCUUCAGACUUGGAGAUUGAGAUGCUACAGCAAUACAUGUUCAAGUUUCCUCACAAAGAAGUGAGGGAACAAAUCAAAUAACUGAGUGUAAUAAUUUUAGAAUUAUUCCAUCUAUAAAAUUGAUGCACCUGAGUUAUUAAAUGCCCUUCUUGAUUCAUUUUCUCUUACUGUGCUAGAUUUUCUGCAAAAAUAAUAAUAUUAUUUUCGCAACGCACGUCUAGAACCACUAAACAUGCUAGAUGGAAGGUUGUGGUAUUUUCUUCUCAUACUAGGUCGUUAUGGAUUAUGGCCCCCAUUUUCAGAUAAACAUGU